rnacentral:rRNA from 1 species
GUGUCAGCAGCCGCGGUAAUACGAACCGUCCAAACGUUAUUCGGAAUCACUGGGCUUAAAGGGUGCGUAGGCGGCCCGGUAAGUUGGGUGUGAAAUCCCUCGGCUCAACCGAGGAAUUGCGCCCAAAACUGUCGGGCUUGAGGAAGAUAGAGGUGAGUGGAACUUAGGGUGGAGCGGUGAAAUGCGUUGAUAUCCUAAGGAACACCGGUGGCGAAAGCGACUCACUGGGUCUUUUCUGACGCUGAGGCACGAAAGCUAGGGUAGCGAAGAGGAUUAGAUACCCUCGUAGUCCUAGCCCUAAACGAUGAGCACUAGAUCGAAGGACACUCCAUAGUCUUUUGGUCGAAGCGAAAGUGUUAAGUGCUCCGCCUGGGGAGUAUGGUCGCAAGGCUGAA